UAACACUUAACAGAGGGGGUUCCAUCAUUUGUGUAAUUUGGCAUGUAUUUUGCUGCACAACACAACCAAUGUAAAUUUUGCGCCCGACCGAAACUGAGGCUCGGGUUUCUGGACGGAUGCAGUUGAUCCAUCGGUUCAACCAACAUAUGUACCUACUAAACUCCUUUUGCUUCUUUAUGGUGGAUUUAUAUUUCCCCAGGCAUAUGGCUCUGGGAUUCCAUGAUAUUUGUAAACAUCUACUUCUAGUAUUGGUCACAAUGCUUCUGUGAAGGGCAAAGUAAACCAGAGAGAGGAUGGUU
rnacentral:lncRNA from 1 species